CUGAAAGUGAUGCGAGUUUUCGAGUGGAGAACUUCGGAUCGUGUUUGCAAGAGCGGCAGCAACAACACCGCGCUAUUUCGGUUCGAGGCUUCUAGAAACGACCCCACCUGAGCUAGUAUGCUGUCACACUCUUACGAAAACAGUGGCAGACUGGCUGACAAAACUGCUGCUUGAGUGUCAUCUGCGACUCAAAGAAUACUAGAAACCAUUGAGCCUGCCAAUCCCUGUGUAAGCAGCUGCAUCUUUCCCUGAGGUGGCACAAAGAAGGAAGUUCCAUACCCGUGAUCUCAUCCACCAACUUUCUGCAAGGAAGUCCCAGUUGUCAGUAGAAGAUUGCAACAAAGUAUUCCAGGAUGAAAAUCAAGCCUUUCCAGUUAGCAGAAAUGGUGGGCCUCCUAAUGAAGACAUGGCUCCAGGGCCUAUAAUGAACUAAUUGUGGUAGGCAAGCCACAGUUUAGUGGUAAUUCCAAUUUGUAACUUUUGAAAGCACCACAAAUCAGAUUUGUGUGUGUGUGUGUUGUGAGAAUGGUAUGGUUUUUGCAGCAAUGAUUUAGGCAAAAUAGGUCCUUUAAAACAUUGGUUACCAGAAAGAUUUAUUCAAGAGAGAAUUGUGAAUGCACCGUUGCUGCCUUUUAAGCUUACAUUUGGCAGUCCAAGUCUUAGCAUGUUCUUUCUCUCUGCAGUUUGCGUUAUUUGAAAAUCAAGUGUACUAAAUUUAGUGAUGCUCUCAAAAAAAGCUAAUUGGACCCUGUACCUGUUUCAUAAACAUUUUAAUUACCAUUUUAACUAAGACAAUUUUAUUUUUUAUUGCAUUGAUAUUUAAGAUUUGCAAGUUCUCUGUAAAGAAGUUGUAUUUGCUAAGGACCCACUGUAUUAGUCGUAUUCAUGGCAACCAUACUGAAUCACAUUUGUAUUUAUGAAAUAAACUGCAUUUUUUUGC